rnacentral:rRNA from 1 species
UACCAGCACCCCGAGUGGUCGGGACGUUUAUUGGGCCGAAAGCAUCCGUAGCCGGUUCUACAAGUCUUCCGUUAAAUCCAACUGCUUAACAGGUGGGCUGCGGAAGAUACUAUAGAGCUAGGAGGCGGGAGAGGCAAGCGGUACUCGAUGGGUAGGGGUAAAAUCCGUUGAUCCAUUGAAGACCACCAGUGGCGAAGGCGGCUUGCCAGAACGCGCUCGACGGUGAGGGAUGAAAGCUGGGGGAGCAAACCGG